GUUUUAUUGCAUGAAAUGUAAUUUAAAGAUGCAGUAUGGUGCUCCAUUCUCGAACAUAUAGUGCUCCGAUCCAAACUAUUUGGCGAGAACGGAACUCAAGAAAUUCAUCGAGCAGGUGGUGAGCGGUCCAACUCAGAAGUGGCUGGUCGGAUUCAGCUGUCCUCACCCGACUCAUUGCAGGGUGAUGCGCAACCGUAUCCGAUAUCUCUUCUCUUCGCUACAAAGCUACACAUAAGUUAGAAGGCUUACUUCGU
rnacentral:lncRNA from 1 species